UUGAGAUAGGGCAACCCCAAAGAGGGAGAGUAUGGCUUGGCAACAUUGGGCCUUGCUUGUGGUGGUAGAAUUGUCAUUUUGAGCAAGAGGGUUGAAGUUUCGACAAAGAGUUUUGUUCCAUGGGAUUCUUAAGACAUAGUUAAGGUCCAUAGGGCAUAUGCUUGAAGUGGAGGUUUCUGCUGCUGCAUAGGUGAGAGGGAGACAGAAUGAUAUUAAGACAAGAAACCUUAAGAAAUCAAGAUUAGUGCUGCCCCCCAUGCCAAGCUUUAGAUUUUGCUAAGAAUAGGGUUGCUUAUGAUUUAUUGUUAUCUUGGCUUAUGAGCUCUUGCUUGAACUGCAGAGGAGAGGAAGAAGAAGACGAAGAAAUCAUAUGGAAGAAGAGAGGGAAAGUUCUGGUCAAACACUCACUUCAAGGGUUGGGGCCGCAGGAAGUUCAGUCGGUUAGCACCAUUCAAAUAAACAAAAAAUAAUCAUCCCAAUUAAUUUGGAUAAAAAAAAAGUUUGAAAAUCUUUUAAGAAUAAAAAAUUCCUGUAAUUCUUCGGAAUAAAUUUCAAAAUAUUCAGGUAAGGGGAAAAAAAUGUCACGGUAUCCUAAAUUACAUGAACUACCCCAACGCUCACCCUACAUUGUUAAUUGUUAUGAGUGCUAAACUCAGCUCGCCAAAUUUAGUUGAAAAAUCCACGAUUCUACUCUAAUAAUAGUUAGUUUUUCAAGUUAAAUAAAAAAAUUGUUUUAGUGAAAUCUAAUUAGACAAGCCUUUUCAAGUUGUUAAGUGAUUAAAACAAAAAAUUAUGUAAGAUGUUCUGUUUAGUAUUAUAAUAAUAAUUAUUAUUAUUUAAAAUAUUUUUUAUUUUAAAAUAAUAUUUUUUAUUUAAAAUUAUAAAAAAAUAAUUUAAAUAAAAAAUUUAAUUUCUUAAAAAAGUUUAGAUAGUAAAAACAAACCGUAAUUUGCAAGCUACAUGCUUGGAAGUGGACUAGACGUGCUCCAAAAGAUAGGGUUUGCUUUUACGAGGUAAUCAUAGUUAUGAAGCCGGAGGUCUGGCGGGUUGAUAUAGAACCGGUGAUUAGAUUGAUCUGGAUUUGUUAAAAGACCGGACGGUGCAAUAACUCGGUAAAACCUAGUUGACCCGGUGGGUCAAUCCAUGGCCUGAGCAGACCCGGAUAAGACCCGGCAUUUUGAAGAUGAUCCACUUGAGAUGAUUGCAAGCCGAUUUGGGUUUGGAGAUCUUAAGGCUUGGUGUUGGGUUCUAUUUCUUCCUUCUAGCCCUAACGAUUGAUGACAAUAACUUAAAGGAAUUGAAGGCUAAACAAGACCAAACUCACAGUGUUUCAGGAGAGAGAGGGGCAAUAGAUAGCAGUACCAGCACCAUAGGUUUUAUUAUCUUCAUCAAGUCUUUAAUAUCUCUCUCUUUUUCUCUCUAGCUGAUGUUUUCAAGCAUGUAGAAAUCAUAGGAAUUUACAGGGGAAAGAUGUAAAAGAGAGGAUUUGGGUGCGUUAAGGAGCAAGGACUCUGCUUCACCCCACGGGAAAGCAUGUCAAAGAGCCGGAGAGGAUAGAAAAACUUUGUGAGAAGAUGGUGAUGAGAUUAAUGUCAAAGAGAUCUCUGCACAAAACAACCAACGACCAAUAAUGUCACCCUCUCCCAUACCCAUGUCCUGCCAAAUUGGGUCCCUCUUCACCUUUUUAUUAUUAUUUUUCUUUCUCAUUUCUUAUUUAAGUCUUUAACCACCUGAUCUCAUAAAUAACCCAGGUUUUAUGGAUUGAUUUAAAUUAAUUCGGGUUAAUAUUUAAAAUCUAGAAUCUAGUUUUUUGAGUGGGUUAAUUUUUAAAUUGGUUUAAUAAAUAAAGGAUGGUAGGGCGUAACAUGGACGAAAGCUGCAAUGCUUUUACGAAAGGAAGACUGUUCACUGACAUGGCAUUUUUGCAGUUAUUGGAAAAGUCUUCACAUGAAUUUUUAGGAUUGUGGAAAUUUUUUUUUUAAAAGAAAUAUAUUUUACUUGAAAAAUAUUAAAUUAAUAAUUUUUUAGAGAUUUAUAUUGGUAUUGAUAUGUUAAUAUUAAAAAAAUCUAAAAUAAAAUAUUAUAUUAAUAUAUUUUUAAAUAAAAAAUAAUUUUUUAAAAAAACUAAACCACAAUAUCAAAUACACAACAAUUAAAUAUCUAUGUAGCUAUCUAUGUAGCAUCUCUAUGGCGGGAAGCUUUGCUAUCUUUUUCCUAUUAGAAUUUUUUAUAUUUUUGAUGCAUUAAUUCAAUACAAUAAAUGUAUUUUUAAAAUUAUUGGAGAAAAAGAGUUAAUCAAUCAAAAUGAAAACAAAAUUUUGAAAAAUAUAGUUAUUAAAUUGAUAUAAAAUUUAAACCGGAAAAUAAUACAAGUUAUUGGUUUGUUAAGUCAAUUAUGAAUUACCAAAUUAAUUUAUAUUAGUUUUUUUAUGAAAAAAUUCAUUUAAUUCUUUUGAUAUUAAUCCUGCAAAGUCAUCUAAAUUAGAUUUUAAAUCAUAAAUUCCGAAACUGAACCGAAGUUAGCCGCUAUAUUGGAAAGUACCGAUUGAAGCCAAGAUUACUGGCAACUUUUGACCUCCAUGACAGUGACAAAAGAACCUCCCUUAAUGACAGUGACAAUCAUCGACCAUUCCUCGUCUUUGGGCUGCACGUGACAUUUGGCAAGCAACAGUUGCACGCAAGGCAGAAAUUAAGCGAUUAAAGUAGCUAAGACAUUGUUGUCCUCUGCUCUGUACCUGUUCAUCGUUGGAAGCAAUGACUAGCUUGUAUCUUUUGGGUUUGUUUUUAAAAUAAUUUUUAUGAGUAUGUUUUUUUAAAAAUAAAUUUAGAAAAAAAAUAAUUAAACUUGAUUAGUUGAAUUUAGAUACAAGUUUAUUAAAAAAUAUAAUUAAAAUUUAUGUGUAAUAAAAAAACAUAUAAAUUAUUUAAAUUUAGUUACAUCAUUAGGUUUGUUUGUUUAAUUGCAGCUUUUGUAUUUGCUGUGUAAAAAAUGUAGUUAGGUAUUUGGUAAUACACCAAACUGUGUUUUAUACAGUGGGACCCAGUAAAAAAUUAAGUUUGAAACAUAAUUUUUGUGAAGUUGUUUUUACAUAUUUUUUUAACUUAGUUUCAUAAAAUUAUGUUUGUUUUUGCGUUUCAAAAACAUUUUUAAAAAAAUUUGAUAUUUUUUUAUUUACUUUAAAUUAAUUUUUUUUUGUAUUUUCAGAUCAUUUUGAUGCGCUGAUAUAAAAAAUAACUUUUAAAAAAUAAAAAAAUUAUUUUAAUGCAUUUUCAAGUAAAGAACAAUUUUAAAAAGUAACCAUAACCAUAAAUCAAUUAAUAAUAAUAUAUUUUAGUUUAAAAUAUAGUUGCGGUUGGUUUUUAAAGUGCUAUUUAAUUAGGAACGGAGCUUGGAACGGAGCUUCAAUCCUACAACAGUAACGAGUACAUCAGGAUGGUUAUCAGCAACCUGACAUCUGGUAUCCAAGUGAUAUGUUAAUAACCUAAACAUUCUUUCUGUUUUUCAAAUCGAUCAUAGUCUAUAUAUGGUUUCGCUUUACUGUUCCAGGAAAUAUAUAAGGAGGGAUGAAAUUUGGAAUCUCAAACUUGGCUGCAAUGGGCUGUUUUCCUUUCCUGAGAGCACUUAAACGAACUAGAACAAGAAGUUCAGGCUGUAUGGAUGAAGUUACGGUUCUGACAAAGCUACACAAUAGAGAACUCUCUAAGGUCCUUAAAAAGCUUGAGAGACAGCUUAAUGGAUUUAAGUAUUCAAAUUUUGAUUUCUAUACUUCACAUAGUGAAAGAAUAAAUCAUCCCACCGAAUAUGGUAUGUUUUUAUCUACAUGUCAAUUCAGAAUUUCCUGCUCGUGUUUCUCAAAUAACAAGUCUAUCCUAACUGUCAAGUUCAGGGUAUGACUUGUUACUAAUUCUUCUAUACCUAUUUUAAUUUUGAUUGUUGCAACUUGAAUGUGAAGAUUUUAAGGAGAUAAAGUGGCAUGUUGUGGCACUGGUCCGUAUGGAGGUUCCAAGUGUGGUCUGAACAAGUUCGAAUUAUGCGAUAAUGCGAGUGAAUAUCUCUUCUUUGAUGGAAUUCAUCCAGCAGAUGAGGUUCAUAAUCAAUUUGCAAAGUUGUUCUGGAGUGGAAAUCCUGACGUUGGAGGGCCUUACAAUCUCAAAACACUGUUUGAGGAAUAGCAUAAAUGAUAAAACAAGGUGUACUUUUUUCCAGAUGCUGUAUUAGAUAACCCAGAAGCCAAAGUAUACUUGCUUCUCUUUAUUCUAUUUUGACUUGGAAGAAAUGACAUUAGAGGUGAGAGCAGAGUUCUGUUCUUGAGUACAACACUCACAGGAAUCAGAAAGAUCAUAUCUUGGUUUAGUAAUGCACUAGUUUACGAUGUAUCUGAUCAGCUCCUCAAAAUUCAAGAACCCUCUAAAAUCUGGUCUUUUUGAAGAGAUUCUGGGAGUGGCCCAGACUUGACAAUUUUCAACUUUAAAUUCCUGCUCAGAAUGAUAAGCAAAUACUUGACAUCUUAAAGCUUUCUGAAAGAAGAGAUGCUUAAAAUUCUGUUGGAUGUGUGGAAACAAUUGCUGGACCAUAGUGCAAUCUACACAGGUAUUUCUUCACGUACAAAAAUGCACUUAUCGAUUAUGACCUCUUUGAGAGAUCACAAGACCAACACCCUACCGGCAAGAAACUAAACAACUGGAGUCCUUUAAGGUUUGGUUCAACUUCACAAGUUUGAAAUUAAUAAAUAAGUUCUUUACAACCACGCAGAGAAGCUAUCGGCACUAGAUUCUCUACGACCACAUUAUAUUAAGUUAUUAACAAAGGACCAAAGCCAACAACACCUAGAUUUAUCAGCAAAUAUGAGCAAUAAAGUAUGAUCUACCUGUGUGUCCAUUCCACUGCAGAAAGUACUGCAGUCAGCUACAGACUGAUUAAAGACAUCGAAGGUAGCUGUAGAAGCUCUCUUGUAAUGAACCAGCAAAUUGUUAGACCUUAAUUCUGAAGCAGCAUUACAAAAGUUAAAUCAAACAAUAUGUUCAAGAACUAGUGAUAUAGAAGUCUUAGUUCAAGGACUACUAGCAUUUAGACCCAUAGGUCAAGAGAGUUAUGCACCUUUUAGCCUUUAAUUUAUCAGCCUCGUUACAUUGUUGGUGUGGCCUUUCGUUUGUAUUUUUCUCAUGUUCUGUUGGUAUGCUCGACUGGAAAUGAAGCUGAACUUCUUCCUAUUCUUAGGCUUUGGAAAUCAGCCUCAACCUGUCCUCUUUUGAGUUUUGUUUUGGCUUUAGCUUUUGUCAGGCAUUGGUCAACUAAGCAAUGUUGUUGUCAUAAAAUGGUGAUUUGAAGUAUUUUGUAGGCUAGUCUUGAUAUGGCUAGUUCUUGUAGUCUCAGGCCACUAAGAAAAUCUGUAGUAAUUUUCUCUGUAAUGUCAAUAUUAUCAAUGAUCCAAAAAAAAAAAAAGGGGGGGACAUGUCAAUAUUAUCAAUUUAUCAAGGUUGGACAUUGGCAGCUUGGACUAAUCAUUGAUAUCCAUGUCAAGUAAAAGCACAGACGACAAAAGGAAUGGGAAGCGAUAGAAAUAUAUUGAAAACUUGAAUAAACAGAAAACAAAAACACCAAUGCUGAGUAGCCAUGGUGGGAUUUAUAUGCAUACAUUUAUUGAUCGAAAGUAGGGAACAUAUGUUGAUAUAUAACAUGUAUAUAGGGUUAAGGUCCCUGCAGCUUCACUGAAAAUUCAUUCAUUUCCUGGAGGAAUGAACCAAAUUCCAUUAAUCAAACGAGUAGAAGAAACCUGAUCCCAAUAGCAGCAAUUUAUCUAGACUUUUUGGAAUUUUGGGGUAAAUUUGUAUUUUUUCAGCAAUUUAUCUUAUAUACGAGGCAGAGGUUAAAUUCCAAUUCACAGUAGCAGAUUAAAAACACACAGUGUACGUUCAUGUCCAUCUUCAAAAUUCUACUAAGAAUAGGUUACCAAGCCUCGACAAAUUUUAGGUGCUUCAGAACAUCAAAGCAUCACAGUGUUGGUAAGUCUGACUAACUUCUAUCACAACUAAUGAUACCCUAAACUCUCUACCUCUUAACUUGAGAAACUCAGGAAUUAAUCUCCACAUACUGAGCACUAUACAGUUCAAUGGCCCAACAUACUUUAAAUUCAUCUUCUUUGCCAAUCAUUCUUGGAUAUGCAGGUUAACUAGCGAAAGAGGUCUGCCGCACGCAUGCAUCCACCUCUCCAGAUCCAUUAGGUAAUGCAGAAGAAAGCCAUUUAAGGGCAUUAGUGCUUACCUAAGCGUGUCUCCGGGCUGUAAUUUUGGUCCACUCAAUACUGGUGAGAUGCUGAAAUUGUUGCCAUCAGCAUGGAACGAAGGGUGCCCAAGAGGCACUGGUCGAUCUGGAAUCUGUGGAACUUCAAUAUCUCCUUCUAACAUUUUCAGCGCAUCCAGAAUGGUUGGCCUUAGAGCCACCAUUAUAUGAGCACACAAAAUCCCAACCAGCACAAACCUUUCCAUUAUCCCCUUCGGAUUUGAGUUUGAAGAAUCACUACCUCUCAACAAAGAAGCAUCCAAUGCCUGUUCCACUUUUCCAGCUUUCACCAAUGACCAGGCCCAGUCUGUGAUCAAUAAAGCCCGAGGUGACCCUGAAGAAGACAAAUCAAGAGCUUUUCUCCCACUCAUUAUCUCCAAAACAACCACCCCAAAGCUAUAAACAUCGCUCUUCUCAGUCAGUUGACCAUAAAGAGCAUAUUCGGGUGCUAAGUACCCAUGAGUUCCAGCCACUCGUGUCGUAAGAUGAGACUGCCCUUCCCUACUUUGCUUUGCCAACCCAAAAUCGGCAACUCUUGCUCUCAUAUCAGCAUCUAACAAUAUAUUUGUCCCCUUGAUAUCUCUAUGAUAUAUUCCAGGCUUGACUCCAUGGUGCAAAUAAGCUAAUCCCUUUGCCACAUCCAGAAUUAUGCUCUUUCUUUGAGGCCAACUUAACAAUUGCUUUUGAAUUUGAUUAUCCGAUGAUGGAAAUAAAUGGUCAUCAAGAUUCCCAUUUGACAUGUAAUCAUAAACAAGAUACCUCUGAUUGCCUCUCUCCUCAGAAUUUACAUCAUCGUCAAUCACACAGCACCCUCUGAGGGGCACCAAAUUCCUGUGCUUCAAGUUGCUAAUAAUCUCAACCUCGUUGCAAAACUCUGCAUCACCUUGAAAGUCAGAUUCUAUAACCCUUUUAACAGCCACCACUGUCCCAUCAGAUAAAACCCCCUUGUAAACAAAACCAAACCCGCCUCUCCCAAUAAAAUUCUUCUGCGAGAAAUUGUCUGUUGCCUUCUCAAGAUCCCGAAUUUUAAACCAAAUUGACCCUGUAUUCGGCCUCAGUUUAGGCCUAGACCCUUGCUGUUCAUCUAAAUCAAAACCAAACCCUGGAUUCUUUUUCCUUCUCCAUUUCUUAUCAUACCAAAGAUACAAUCCUAACAAACUAGAGACUAGUAAAAUAGCAACGCCAGCACCAGUCAAGCCAAAAACAAGAGCAGAAUGCGAAUUGCUAGCUGAACCAACUCUUGAAUUUAAAUCCAAACCAAAUAUACAUGAAACAACACCAUCACUUUCAGGACCAAACUCGUUAACAAUACCAGCAGCAUAGAGAACAGCAAAGUAAAAACAAUCUUGAGCAUGAGUUUGAUUACCAUCAGCAGCCACCAACAACGACUGUACUUUAUUACCAGCUCUAACACAAGAAGCACAAGCUGUAAGAUCAGUAAGAUCAGACCGGCAAUCUGAAUCAAGAGAAGUCGACUUACCAAGUUGAGCAACCCAGUCUUGAGAUGUCUCUAUACGGGCACAGAUGUUAGGUGAUGUAACAAACUGUAAAGGGUUAAAGCAGUGUGAGACAAGAUUGUCGGAAAGAGAAAAGGAGCUGAGCUUUGACUGGUAAUCUUGAAGGCAAGAACUAGAGGUAGCUAAGUCUGGAAGUUGAAAAAGAGAGGUUUCUUUGAGAUGUUGAGAUAGGGCAACCCCAAAGAGGGAGAGUAUGGCUUGGCAACAUUGGGCCUUGGUUGUGGUGUUGGAAUUGUCAUUUUGAGCAAGAGGGUUGAAGUUUCGACAAAGAGUUUUGUUCCAUGGGAUUCUUAAGACAUAGUUAAGGUCCAUAGGGCAUAUGUUUGAAGUGGAGGUUUCUGCUGCUGCAGAGGUGAGAGGGAGAAAGAAUGGUAUUAAGACAAGAAACCUUAAGAAAUCAAGAUUAGUGCUGCCCCCCAUGCCAAGCUUUAGAUUUUGCUAAGAAUAGGGUUGCUUAGGAUUUAUUGUUAUCCUGGCUUAUGAGCUCUGGCUUGAAUUGCAGAGAAGAGGAAGAAGAGGAAGAAUAGGAAGACGAAGAAAUCAUAUGGAAGAAGAGAGGGAAAGUUCUGGUCAAACACUCACUUCAAGGGUUGGUGUAGCAGGAAGUUCAGUCGGU
rnacentral:lncRNA from 1 species